AGGCUGGCCUGGAACUCGUGGCCUCAAGUGAUCGACCUGCCUUGGCCUCCCAAAGUGCUAGGGUUACACGCAUGAGCCACCAUGCACAGCCAUUACUGGUAAUUUAUUAGUCAAUUUUUAAUUUUAUUUAUUUUUAAUUGAGAUGUAACUGACAAACACUGUAUGUAUUUAAGAUGUACAACGUGGUGUUUUGAUACACAUACACAUUGUGAGAUGAUUCCCCAAAUAAAGCUAUUUAACCUAUUUAUCACUUCACAUAUCUGUUUUUUGGUCAUCUACUCUCUGGGCAAAAUUCAAAUAUCCAAUAUAUUAUUAUUCUAUAGUUAUGAUGCAAUACAUUAGAUUUCCACAACUUGUGCAUUUUAAAACUGUGAGGUUGUACCCUUUGACCAAAUUCCCCCAUUUUCCUCCAUCCCCUACCCGCUAGCAAACACCGUUCUGCUUUCUGUUUCUAUGAGUUAGACUUUUUUAGAUAACAUAUAUGAGUAAGAUUAAGCAGCGUUUGUCUUUCUGUGCCUGGGUUAUUUCACUUAGCAUAAUGUCCUCCAGUUUCAUCCAAGUUGUUGCAAAUGGCAGGAUCUCCUUUUUUAAAGUUGAGUAUUAUUCCAGUGUGUGCAGUAUGUAUACACACGUAUACACAUGUACCCAUGUAUGUAUGCACACGUAUACACACGUACCCAUGUAUGUACACGUAUACACAUGUACCAUGUAUGUAUGCACACGUAUACACAUGUAUGUAUAGAUGUAUACAUGUACACACUUAUGAAUACAUGUGUAUCUACAUGUACACAUGCACACAUGUAUAUGCACAUGUGUAUACAGGCAUGUAUAUAUGUGUGCUUACCUACGAAUAUACAUACAUACACAUAUCUGUAUGCAUAUACACACGUACAUAUCGAUAUGUAUAUGUAUACAUAUGUGUCCGGAAUUGGUGGGUUCUUGAUCUUGCUGACUUCAAGAAUGAAGCUGCGGACCCUCGUGGUGAGUGUUACAGCUCUUAAAGAUGGUGUGUCUGGAGUUUGUUCCUUCAGAUGUUCAUAUGUGUCCGGAGUUUCUUCCUUCUGCUGGGUUCGUGGUCUCGCUGACUUCAGGGGUGAAGCUGCAGACCUUUGCAGUGAGUGUUACAGCUCUUAAAGACAGCACGUCCGGAGUUGUUUGUUCCUUCUGGUGAGUUUAUGGUCUUGCUGGCUUCAGGAGUGAAGCUUCAGAUCUUCGCAGUGAGUGUUACAGCUCAUAAAGGCAGCGUGGACCUAAAGAGUGACCAGCAGCAAGAUUUAUUGCGAAGAGCGAAUGAACAUAGCUUUCACAGUGUGGAAGGGGAGGAUUUUUAUAGUAUCAGGACUUGUAUUUAAGUCUUCAAUCCACUUUGAGUUGAUUUUUGUAUAUGGUGUGAAAUAAGAGUCCAUUUUCAUCCUAUGGCAAGUAAAUAUCCAGUUUUCACAACACCGUUUACUGAAGAGACCAUCCUUUCCCCAAUGUGUGUUCUUGGCACCUUUGUUGAAAAUGAAUGGACUAAAUUCAUAACUUGGCCUCUGGGCUCUCUAUUCUGUCCCACUGGUCUCUGUGUCUGUUUUUAUGGCAGUACCAUACUGUUUUGACUACUAUAGCUUUGUAAUAAAAUUACAGAUGCCUUACCAUUCCAUGUCAUUUCCUUCUGCUCUGUCCACACCAUUUUGAAUAAUUUAUUCCUUAAACUCCUUUCAGAUUACCAAAGUAUUUCCUAAUAAUUGGUUGUAUGUGCAUUAAAUAUCUCUAGAAGGAAACACAAAAAAACAAGUAAUCAUUUUCUAUGAGCUAGGAAACUGGGUGGGGAAAAAAACUUUUCAUUGUAUACUUUUACAAUUCUUAUUUUUGAAUAAUGUGGAUGCAUUAGCUAUAUAUGUGCAUGCAUAAUAUAUAUACAAAUAUACAUAAAUGUGUAUGUAGAUAUAUAAAUAAAUAAAAUGCAGUAAUAUCUAAUAUAACUAUUUUUCUGUAUAUUUACUCUAACAUGAAAACUUUUUUUUAAUUUAACUUUUAUUUUACAUUCAGAGGUACAUGUGCAGGUUUGUUAUAUAAGUAAACUUGUGCCAUGGGGGUUUGUUGUACAGAUUAUUUCAUCACCCAGGUUUAAGCCUAGUACCUAUUGGUUAUUUUUCCUGAUCCUCUCCCUCCUCCCACCUUCCAUCCUCCCAUAGGCCCCAGUGUAUGUUGUUCCCCUCUAUGUGUCCAUGUGUUCUCAUCACUGAGCUCCCACCUGUAAGUGAGAACAUGCUGUCUUUUUUUUGGCAGGGGGGAGGGGCAGUGAGACAGAGUCUCGCUCUGUCACCCAGGCUGAAGUGCAGUGGCAUGAUCUCAGCUCACUGCAUCCUCCGCCUCCUGAGCUCAGAUGAUCUUCCCACCUCAGCCUCCCGAGUAGCUGGGAUUACAGGCAUGUGCCACCAUGCCUGUCUAAUUUUUGUGUUUUUAGUAAAGACAGGGUUUCACCAUGUUGGCCAAGCUGAGAACAUGCGGUCUUUGGUUUUUGGUUCUUGCACUGGUUUGCUAAGAAUAAUGGUCUCCAGCUCCAUCCAUGUUCCUACAGAGAACGUGAUAUCAUUCUUUUUUAUAGCUGCAUGGUAUUCCAUAACAUGAAAACUUUUACUGUGGCACAUCUUUAGACUUUUGUACUUUUUAUAGGAUUACUUCUGUAUUUUAGGAGGAGAUUUGGAAUUCCUCAUUAGUAUCUACAUAAUAAAGUAUAGUUUUUCUGGGAAUAAAACUAUUUGAAACUAGACAUCUAAAAUUAAAUCAUGAAGUAAAAGUGAACUCAGCUUUAAAAAAUAAUUGAAAAGUUAAGUUGCCUUUAAAAAGUAAUUCCUCAUAUUACCUAAAUUGAUACUUAGCUAUAUUGUGUGAAGAUAUUUCUAGACCAAGGACAUCUUUAACCUGUGAAUUAAAGUCUCUAUUCAUGGCUUUUUUUUUUUUCUUUAACUAUGGAGACCUUAGGAGCUAGAGAGAUACAAUAAAAGGAAGAAGAGUUUUUUUUUUUAAUGACAUCUGCUUAAAGGAGGAGAAGUCAUUAGAUCUAUUAUCUUCCUACAUCAACCAACUAUAAAGGUAAAAUAAACUAUUUUUCAGAUAAACAAGAUCUCAAAAAAUUUACUUACCAUGCACCCUUUCCAAGGAAAGUACUGAUAGAUGGGCUCCACCAGAACAAGGAAGUAAACCAAGAAAGAGUGAAACAAGAGAUUCAAUGCAAGAAAGAUGUAAAGGAAGUCUCUAAAUUAAUGGGAAAGGAGAUUCCAAGAAAACAGUAGGCAAUCCUAGGUAUCGAUCAUCCAAUUAAUGUGGUCCAGAAGGUUCUAGAAGAGACAUCUUCCAAAAAGUAAAAGUGAUAGUGUACUUAAUUUGUUUGAAUGUAUAAAGAGGAGAUUUACAGGGGGAGUGUUUGGAAAUUAGUGAUAAAUACAUAGAAAACUAAGCAAAUGGAAAAACAAGUCAGACAUUCACUUUAGGGAAAGAAAAUGUAAGGGGAAAAGCAAUCAUAUUCUAUUAUAUUACUGAGCUUUCUUUGUCACUUAUGUAUUGUCAUAAUAACAUGUUUACUGGGCACUGAUUCUAAGUUUACUGGGAUGGUGGGUAGAUGGGAAUUGUUCUCUCUCUCUCUCUCAAUCCCUGUAUGUGUGUAUGUGUAAGAGAGCAAUAUGUUCAGUUUCCAUAGAGGUAAGUUGAUGGUAAUGCUAAAACAGAAAAAUUUUUAAAAAGUAGCAAUAUAAACAUUUUUUCCAGGGAUACGCAAAUAAUAUAUCAGAGGAGCUGAAACUAAUUGCCUCUGGAAAACUGGUAAUGAGAGCAAAAAGAAAGGCUGCUCUUUCUCAUAAAAUCUAUAGAGUUAUUUGACUCUUGUCAUAGGCCGAUUCUCUGGAAAGUAGAUUCUGAGAUGGAUCCAAGAGUUUUAUUGGGGAGUAUUCUUGGCAUCAAGGAAGAGACUGGAAUGAAGAACAAGGGAGCCUGUUCUUUAUAGGUCAGCUCCUUUGGGGAGGUGGCAGGGUGGACGGUGGAUCUAAGAGCAAAUAGCAUAUUCAUCACAUGGAAUGUGUUUGUGCUCAUGUCAUAGAAGUUGGAGAACAGAACCUUCAGCUCUUUUAACUUGGUUUCUUAAAAAAUAACAUGUUAUUGUCAUACACAUGUCUUAAUUCAGUGGUUGUUCUACACUCAAGAUGCCUUCCAUAGAAACCUGCCUUCCAAAAAAAGGAGGUAUGUGGGUAACACAAAAAAGAUCUGGGUAUUCUUGCAUGUCAGAGUUUGGGAAGCACUCUGUUAAAUCCAUUGUCACUCAGAUUUAUUUGUCCAUAGACCCAUUUUCAAAUCACAUGAUGCUAUCCUAAGGAAUACACUAAUAAACUCAUUUAAUUAUUGUUGAGCUUUCUUCAAGAAUGCAAUCCCCAAUGUUGUCAUUGUUCUUAGAAGGAAACAUAACUGUCUUUAGGAGGAAGAUUCCAAGAAUUGGUUGGUUGUGGUGAAAACAGAGUCUGCCUAUACAUGCCUGGGUGAGCAUUGAAAAAUGGAAACAAAACAAACAAAACACACCUCAGGCAAAAGAGGAGAACCAGGGGAAAGAAUAAAAAUAGGGGUGAGGAGUGGAGCUGUUUUGAACCAGGUUUGAAAAAUGCAGUAAGCAUCAAGGGGAGUCAUAAGAGCACAAAUGGGAAGCCAUUUUUUUUGCUUGUUUUUAAAUAAAAGUUUAGAGGAGGGGAAGGCUUUCUCCCCAGGAGGCUGGGUGGAGGAAAAGGAUCUGAUUAAGGAAGAGGUGGGUUGGAUUCCAGGAAAGGCAGGCAACUACACUGAGGUUCAGGUGAAUGAGAUCAUUUAGUUUCAACCUAAACUGGCUGUGUCUGGAGCAGCCAGACGUCAGGAGCCUGGGAUCUGCCAGGGAAUCUGCAAAAACAGGAGCAAACCAGCCUGGGGGGAAAGGAAUGGAAAGUGCAGGGCAUGACUUAAGUGUUAGGUUUGAUCAGUCAAGAUCAGUGACUCUCAGUGUGUCUGUGAUUGUGUCUGUGAUUUUUCCACCUGUGUUUAAUCUGUUGUGUAAAACUUCCCCAGGCUGGGCUAGCUUUAUUCUCUGAAACGGAGACUGUAAUAAAUGUCUUCCCCAUUGCAGAGGUCUGAGAUAAAGAACAGUAAAUUAAAUUUAUUAAGGAGGUAGGAGAUACCAAUGAAAAGAUUGGAGAUUAAGGAAAUAGAAAACAGAUAUACUGUAGAAAGUAUCAAUAUAGUAAAAAUUUGAUACUUUGAAAAUAUGAAAAAAAAACCUGACAAACUCCUGGCUGGGGGGAGGUUUGGGAAAACAGAGUGGUCUUUUGAUUCUAAGAUGACCCUCUAGAGAAUAAAAAAAAAAAUGUGUGCACAUCUUUAUCUUUGGUCUUAUAAGAGUGGGUGAAGGAAGUGAACUGGGUGAACAUGAAAUUACUUGUAAUUGAGUAAGCCUGGGAAAAUUUCACUAAGAGAGCUAAUGGUGGAUGUGAGGAUAAUCUUUACAGGUUCUAAGCAUUUUUCUCUUCUGAAACUGUGUGUGUGUAUGUGUGUGUGUGUGUGUGUGUGUGUGUGUGUGUGUGGUCAGAGGAGGGGAGGGGGGGCAGGUGGUUGUUUAAAAUAUUAAAUAGGUACAGCUGGGUGUGGUGGCUCACGCCUGUAAUCCUAGCACUUGGGAGGCCGAGGCAGGCAGAUCACCUGAGGUCAGGAGUUCAAGACCAUCCUGGCUAACAUGGUGAAACCCUGUCUCUACUAAAAAUACAAAAAAUUAGCCAGGCAUGAUGGCACACGCCUGUUGUCCCAGCUACUCUGGAGGCUGAGGCAGGAGAAUGGUGUGAACCCAGGAGGUGGAGCUUGCAGUGAGCCAAGAUCGUGCCACUGUACUCCAGCCUGGGUGACAGAGUGAGACUGUCUCAAAAAAAAGAAAAAAAUUAAAUAGAUACUAAAAAACAUUAAAAUAUAUAUGUAGGGUAACAAAAUUAUUGUGAUAAAAGCCAAUAAGUGGUUGCCAGGGCUUAGGGCUGGGAGGAGGGUAGGACUCUCAAGAGGAAGGAAAUUGUUUCUUAGUGUUAAUGGAUCAGCUCUGUAUUCUGAUUGUGAUGGCAAUUACAGGAAUCUAUACAUGCAAUAAAAUGUCAAAGAGCUACAUACACACUCUCAAAAAUUGUAUAUGUAAAAACUAGUGAAAUCUGAAUAAAGCCUGCCAUUUAGUUCAAUGUCAGUUUCCUGGUGUUGUGAAUUGAACUUGUCUUAUGCAAGAUUAUAUCAUUGGAGGAAGCUGGAUGAAGGGCUCAUAGGAACUCAUUGAACUCAAAUUUCUAUUUGAAAUUUCUAUAUGAGUAUGAAAUUAUUUCAAAAUAAAGAGCUUAAAACACUUGCGGGGGGGGGGGUGUUAAAUAAUAAGAGUACGACAGGUGUUCAUUACCAACCACCCACUUGAAGAGUGCAUUACCAUUACUUUAGAAAGCUUUAAAGCACUCUUUCCCAACCUCUUCCCUCUCCCUCUCCCAUCAGAGACAACUACUAACUAGAUUUUUGUAUUCAUUAUCUCUUUGCUUUUCUCUAUAGUUUUAACUUCAUGUAUUUAUAUCCUCCUAAAUGUAUUUAGUUUUGUGUGUUUUGAAUGCUAUGUAAAUUGAGUCAUUCUGCAUAUAUUCUUCCACCAGUUGCUUUUUAACUUAACAUUUCCUUUCUAAAUCUCAUCUGUGUAGCUUUUUUUUUGAGAUGGAGUCUCGCUCUGUUGCCCAGGCUAGAGUGCAGCAGCACAAUCUCAGCUCACUGCAACCUCUGCCUCCCGAGUUCAAGCAAUUCUCCCUGCCUCAGCCUCCCAAGUAGCUGGGAUUACAGGUGCCCACCAGCAUUCCUGGCUAAUUUUUGUAUUUUUAGUAGAGAGGGGGUUUCACCAUGUUGGUCAGGCUGGUCUUGAACUCCUGACCUCAGGUGAUCUGUUCGCCUUGGCCUCCCAAAGUGCUGGGAUUACAGGCAUGGGCCACCACACCCAGCCAUCUGUAGCUUUUUUAUUUCUUCAUUGAUGUAUUCAUUGUGAAUACACCACAAUUUAUUCCAUUGUUAAUCAACAUUUGGUCUGUUUUCAGUUUUUUUUUUUCUCCAAUUACAAACAGUGCUGGUAUAAACAUUCUUUUCCAUGCCUCCUAGUAAACAGUGCAAGAAUUCCUCUAGGGAAUAUACCUAGGGGUGAAAUUUCUGGGUCAGAGAGUUCAGCUACUUUUUGUAUUUACUAAAUGAUGCCAACUUAUUUUCCAAAGUGGUGUAACUACUGCUGCACAUUCUCAGUCACAUCGGGUAUUGUCAGGAUUCUUACUUCUUGUGUGUGUGGUAAAUAUAAAAUGGCAUCUGAUCACUGCUGUUCUAAUUUCUCCCCAAUUUCUAGUAAGAUUGAGCAUUUUCCAUGUAUUUGUUGCCAUUUCUUUCUCUUCUGUGAAACACACAUGUAACAUUUCUGCUCAUUCAUCAGUUGGAUUGUUCAUUUUUUUCUUACAGGUUUAUAGAGUUCUUUGUAUAUUCUGGGGCUUAAUUCUCUAUGUUAUGAGUACCUUCUCCCAGUUUCUGACACUUAUUUUUUUACUUUCAUUACAGUGUCUUUUAUUUUUAUUUUUUAUUUUUUGAGAUAGGCUCUCACUCUUGCCCAGGCUGGAGUGCAGUAGCACGAUUAUGGCUCACUGCAGCCUUGACCUACCAGGCUCAAGCGAUCCUCACACCUCAGCCUCCCAAGCAGCUGGGACUACAGGUGUGUACUACCAUGCCCAGCUGAUUUUUAAUUUUUUGUAGAGACGGCAUCCUACUGUUUCCCAGUUUAAUUAGGCAUAAAUAAAAAGCCACGUGAAGCCUGGAGAUACUGGACAUAGCAGAUUUGUCAAGCCAUUUUUCCCACCACCAGUGCCUGAGCACGACCUCAUUUGUCUUGGUCAAUGAAGCUCAAGGAAGCAUUGCACUUUGGCUUCCGCUUUAAGUUUUGUAUGUUGAUAUGUAUCCCAUGUCUUCUAACAAUAAAGUGCUAUUUCACUGACA
rnacentral:lncRNA from 1 species